rnacentral:lncRNA from 1 species
UUGUGAAAAGUAAGUAAUUAUAAGUGGUGGGUAUAGUCCAAAAAUAGGUAGGAAGUUUUUUUGUAGACGUCCUAAAAUGGAAAGAUAAGAAGUUCUUUCGUGGACUGAGGGAGUAUUUUUUUAUUUUUUAUUUUAUUUCUUUCUAAAUCAUGAAAUUCGACUAAUUAUAAAAUAUUUAAUAUACAUAUCAAAUUAAAGAUCAUAUUUUAUGUAAAUAUUUGAUUUAAAAUAUAAAAACUAUAUUUAUUUAAUGAUUUUUU